rnacentral:ncRNA from 1 species
AAACUAGAGUUGUGUUCAACAACCGAUUUCAUAAAUUUGCUUUCCGAGUAGCCCCUUUGCAAGGGGCUUUUUUUAUU